CAAGUGUAUGAGAUCCGAGUUCUACUGAUACAGGCACCAGUGUAACGCGAUCAUCCCUUCAAGAAAGUUGAGUUCCGCCUGAAGCAACGAUGCAGCCACUCUCGCUUCUCUGUUGUGUCUUAAUUUGCUACAUUGCUACCAAUUUUGGCACAAAUGCCCUUCCAAUCAACAAUAAAGGUGACAUGAGUGAAGAAGAGAAUGAGUUUGUGAAGAGGUUUGAUGCAAUAAUUGCUGAUAUCGGCCAAACUGCGGAACUUCAUCGCCAGAAAAGAGGCGUCUGUAAUAAUGAGAUCUGCAAUAUCGGCUGUAUCGCUCUGGGUCACAAGAGUGGAACAUGCGGUGGCGAUGAGUGCAAGUGUUCCGAUUGAUAAUAUUUUUUUCUUCUGGUUCUCAAGUGAAGAUGUGUUUAUAAGAAGAAAAGAACAAAACUAACCUAAGCAUCAAAAAUAAUUCUAUCGACACAAUAAUUAUUUAUCAUGAAAUAUAUCUGAAUUUUGUGACCGCGUACAAUUUCGAAAGUUCUUCAGAUGGACUUAAUAAUUAUGUUCAAAUAAAUAUACAACAAAAAAUGAAUUGUUUGAUUCAAUCUUAAACCUAACGACAUACGAAUCAAAACGUCAUCAUGUAAUCGUCUUCUAAUCAAUCAUCAUUUAUUUUCUCUCUAUCAAGUAUAUAAAUCUUACUUCUCCUGAUAAUCGACAUCAGUCCAAAGUGAUCUACAGCUCGGGUAAGGUCGGAGCCUGGUUUUGCCAUAGAAUCCACAUCGGAGAUGCAGCCAAUUACAGUUUUCUGUUUCGUCCUAAUUUGCUCCAUCGGAACAAUAAACUGCACCAACGAUUUUCCCCAGAAGGACGACUCCGAAACUGUCGGCAUAUUCUUACCCAAUUCAUCGGAUCUAACCCACGGCACAGAUCAUCGUGUGGAUCGCUUGUCGGAGCAGCAACGCCAUCGAAGGGCGACCUGUAACUUUGCCGAGUGCGACGCCUUUUGCCGUCGAAGACAACUUCGUGGUAUCUGUGUACGAAACACGUGUAAAUGCAACUAAAAACUGAAAAAGGCAUUUUUAAUGUCAAAUGUUUAAAAUAAACCAACUGUUUUCAUUAAUCUCAUGUUUUAAAAACGGAGUAGUAAAACAAACUGGAAAUAUUUUUUUUAAAUAACACACACAUUUAAAAAAAACUUUCUGAUUUUCCGUUGUUUAUUACUUAAAUAAUUUUAAUUAAUCUUGAACAAAAGGAAAUAAUAGGUUUUUUUAAGGGUCCACUGAAUUGUUUUUAAGUUUUCGAAUCCACCUCUGGUAAGGCCGCUGCAAAUAUUUUUUGAAAUUUAAGUCACUCGUCUCUGAUUGAGUUCAAGGGGGAAGCAAAAAAUAUAAAAAAUAAUAACAAGCCAGAAUUUCAAAAUUUCAAUGCAAAAAGGCCCGAUUCGAUUUGCAAUCAAUAGUUUUCAAAAAAUCAAAGUUUUAACGAAAAUAUUUUUUAUUACAAGAAAAAACUUAUUUCUGUGAAAUAAGGUGAAAAUUCACUUAAACUC